rnacentral:rRNA from 1 species
GAUCAGGGCUCAGGACGAACGCUGGCGGCGUGCCUAAUACAUGCAAGUUGAACGCUGAAGACUGGUACUUGUACUAGUUGGAUGAGUAGCGAACGGGUGAGUAACGCGUGGGUAACCUACCUCUUAGCGGGGGACAACUAUUGGAAACGAUAGCUAAUACCGCAUAACAAUCACUAACACAUGUUAGUGAUUUGAAAGCACCAAUUGGUGCACUAAGAGAUGGACCCGCGUUGUAUUAGCUAGUUGG